UAGGGAAUCUUCCACAAUGGACGCAAGUCUGAUGGAGCAACGCCGCGUGAGUGAAGAAGGUUUUCGGAUCGUAAAGCUCUGUUGUUGGUGAAGAAGGAUAGAGGCAGUAACUGGUCUUUAUUUGACGGUAAUCAACCAGAAAGUCACGGCUAACUACGUGCCAGCAGCCGCGGUAACACGUAGGUGGCAAGCGUUGUCCGGAUUUAUUGGGCGUAAAGCGAGCGCAGGCGGAAUGAUAAGUCUGAUGUGAAAGCCCACGGCUCAACCGUGGAACUGCAUCGGAAACUGUCAUUCUUGAGUGCAGAAGAGGAGAGUGGAAUUCCAUGUGUAGCGGUGGAAUGCGUAGAUAUAUGGAAGAACACCAGUGGCGAAGGCGGCUCUCUGGUCUGCAACUGACGCUGAGGCUCGAAAGCAUGGGUAGCGAACAGG
rnacentral:rRNA from 1 species